rnacentral:rRNA from 1 species
GAUGAACGCUGGCGGCGUGCUUAACACAUGCAAGUCGAACGGUGAAAGCGGAGCUUGCUCUGCUGGAUCAGUGGCGAACGGGUGAGUAACACGUGAGCAAUCUGCCCCUGACUCUGGGAUAAGCGCUGGAAACGGCGUCUAAUACCGGAUACGAGCUGCGAAGGCAUCUUCAGCAGCUGGAAAGAAUUUCGGUCAGGGAUGAGCUCGCGGCCUAUCAGCUAGUUGGUGAGGUAACGGCUCACCAAGGCGUCGACGGGUAGCCGGCCUGAGAGGGUGACCGGCCACACUGGGACUGAGACACGGCCCAGACUCCUACGGGAGGCAGCAGUGGGGAAUAUUGCACAAUGGGCGCAAGCCUGAUGCAGCAACGCCGCGUGAGGGACGACGGCCUUCGGGUUGUAAACCUCUUUUAGCAGGGAAGAAGCGAAAGUGACGGUACCUGCAGAAAAAGCACCGGCUAACUACGUGCCAGCAGCCGCGGUAAUACGUAGGGUGCAAGCGUUAUCCGGAAUUAUUGGGCGUAAAGAGCUCGUAGGCGGUCUGUCGCGUCUGCUGUGAAAACCCGAGGCUCAACCUCGGGCCUGCAGUGGGUACGGGCAGACUAGAGUGCGGUAGGGGGAGAUUGGAAUUCCUGGUGUAGCGGUGGAAUGCGCAGAUAUCAGGAGGAACACCGAUGGCGAAGGCAGAUCUCUGGGCCGUAACUGACGCUGAGGAGCGAAAGGGUGGGGAGCAAACAGGCUUAGAUACCCUGGUAGUCCACCCCGUAAACGUUGGGAACUAGUUGUGGGGACCAUUCCACGGUUUCCGUGACGCAGCUAACGCAUUAAGUUCCCCGCCUGGGGAGUACGGCCGCAAGGCUAAAACUCAAAGGAAUUGACGGGGACCCGCACAAGCGGCGGAGCAUGCGGAUUAAUUCGAUGCAACGCGAAGAACCUUACCAAGGCUUGACAUAUACGAGAACGGGCCAGAAAUGGUCAACUCUUUGGACACUCGUAAACAGGUGGUGCAUGGUUGUCGUCAGCUCGUGUCGUGAGAUGUUGGGUUAAGUCCCGCAACGAGCGCAACCCUCGUUCUAUGUUGCCAGCACGUCAUGGUGGGAACUCAUGGGAUACUGCCGGGGUCAACUCGGAGGAAGGUGGGGAUGACGUCAAAUCAUCAUGCCCCUUAUGUCUUGGGCUUCACGCAUGCUACAAUGGCCGGUACAAAGGGCUGCAAUACCGUAAGGUGGAGCGAAUCCCAAAAAGCCGGUCCCAGUUCGGAUUGAGGUCUGCAACUCGACCUCAUGAAGUCGGAGUCGCUAGUAAUCGCAGAUCAGCAACGCUGCGGUGAAUACGUUCCCGGGUCUUGUACACACCG